rnacentral:lncRNA from 1 species
GUUUUAAAUGUUUGUAAAAUCAUUUUUAAUGACAUUUACUGUAGGAAUUUUAUUCUUAAUAUAAAAUAUAAACACUUAAAUAACUGAUAACUUGCUUGCUUUAAUACAUUUUGAAUUAGGUACGCAUCAACAUUUUUAAAAAUAUUAUCUACUAAAUAAUGUACAGUAAAAAAGUGCGGGGUGGGUCGUCACAGGAGACUUCUUGCAACCAGUACAAAAAAUCCCAACAGUUCGAAAAUAUUAUGUGCUUAGAGUAGGUACUUAUAGGUAUAUUUAAAAAUUCUAAAUAUCAGAAUUUGAAUGAAUUCAUUAUAUCGAAUACCUAACGAAAAAUGGGGGGUUCAGUUUACCCGGUAAAUCACCCUGUAUACAUACAAUAAUUAUAUAUGCAUUUUAUGUACCUAUAUAAAAUAUAUGUAUAAUCACAUUACUUGUUUUAUGGCGCUGCCGUCCUUUGCGGGCGCACGCAACGGCGACGUCGCACCGCCGUCGACGAUUCAUCAAAAUAAUAUUAUAAUGCUGUGAAUAUUUUCGACACGGACCUUAUCUCGUUCCUCCGCGGUGGGGCAGAGUACCUGUAAUAUAUUUCCUAAUCCGCGCGUCACUCCGCGACUCUUCUGCCCCCCUCCAAGCAUUCUGUAAUAACAUAAUAUUAUAAUAUUAUUUAGUUUUAUUACGUACGUUAUAAUAUAUGACAUGUUAUUACAUUAUACACAGGUGCAAUACAAUAACGUACGAACUCGCGGCGGUCGUGUGUAUACUGUAUAGUGUGUACUUACAUAAUAAUAUAAUAGGUAGGUAUGUAUAUUGUAUAUGGUAUUCGGUGUCUAUCAUAGACCUAUAAACUGCAGUUAACAGCGCUUAGAGAGCAGAGAAAUAAGGCGACGGCCGACGACAUGCUUUGAGCGAGAAAAGAAACAAAACAGUAAAAACAGUGUGUCUACUGCCAAAUAUAAAAUUGUGUUACGAUAAAAUCUUGACAAUCGACGGAGUUGGGCGGUAGUUCCCGCGGCCAAAGUAGGCUGCACUUUACUUAUCAUGGUUCCAUAUGUCUUCUGCGCUUUCACGAAACACCAACCAGGUUGGGCACAGUUAAAAACAAAAACAGUGUAAAUACGUAAUUUUAUUACCGUAUUAUAUCAUGAUUCGUGUAUAUUUCUUAUGAGUUUUUAUUGGACUAAACGAAUUAACUUGUAUUAAUAGUAUUACUUAUAACUAGUAUUGUUUUUAAUUUGAACUUUUUCGUUAUAUUGACAUUUGACUUAUUAUAAAUUAUAAUAAUACAUCACUGCAACGCAGUUUACCGCAACCGGACCAACACCCAUCCCCGCCAACCGAGCAUGCUCCGUCAACGAGUAUAAGGACUAUGGAUUACUAAGAAUAUUACUUAUUACCGAUUUAAAGAAAAAUUGAGAGAAAAAAGGUACAGUAGGUAUUUCCUCCAUGAUUCACUACUUGAUGUUCUUUCUCUCUCAGUAUAUUUUACUCGCCGAGGGCCGCGGGGCAGAGUUGAAUGCGCUAUCCAUAGUUUAUAGGUCUAUGGCGUCUACGCGUAUAUAUAUUAUUAUUAUUGUUAUUUCGUAUUAUUGUAUCUUGCACCGCGUAUAUACGAAACGUCGCGUUCGGUAAAUAAAUCAACAGCGAUAUCGACCUACCGGAAAAGUGCCGAAGUGCGAAGAUAAAUCGCCGACAGUCGGAAGGUGGAUGAUGAUCUAAGAGUUGCUGGUCGUGGCUCGAGAAAAACCAUUUACAAACCGCCGAGACGCUCAUUUGUACGUGUUGUCCACGCGUAAGUGUUCAUAGCAAUGAGUGAAUAAAUGAUUGGGUACUAUCGCGACCGCGGUCAGCGCUCUGCUGUUGUUGUAUCGUGAAGUUAACAGGUAUUUUAUUUUACUAUUAAUGUUAUUAGAGGCGAAAGAUGUUUUAUUCCUCCGCUAGCUUAUUUAUAAUAAUAUUAUAAUGAUAUUAUAUCGUACAAGUGAUCGAGUUAUAUGCACGCGUAUAAAUAUUAAAAUAGUAAUACGAUUGUGUGUGGAGCGUAUACACACACGGACGAGGAUUAGGUAAGGAAAAACCACUCGACGAAAAAGACGACUAUUAUAUGCCACCGACUCCAUGAUAAUAAUAUAUAAUAUAGUACUAUAAUACGUAUGUACUAUUAUAUUAUACGACCGAUGACUUCGAUGUCGGCGACGGACGUGCAUUAUACGUAGGUGGACGGGAGAGGGGGUGCGUAUGCGGUCGUGUGAGGGUAUUGAGAAAAUCCGUUGACGAGGAAAAUUAAAGUCCUCGCCCGCUCCGAAGCGUUUUUUUUUUAAACAUCUGACCGCUGACGGUGACACGUACUCCACGGACAACAACAAAAAAAAAAUUGGAAAAAUCGGGGUAAAAAAAAAGGAAACAAAGGACACGUCCGGUAAAGAGCAAACGAUCGACGACGAGUAUAUUAUUAUUAUUAUUAUUAUUAUUAUUAUUAUAGUGCCCUUCAACGCGCGUAUUGGAUUUUCGUCCGUAUAUAUACUUCGAGAGUCGUCCAUUCGAUUUUUAUAUAUAUUUUAUUUUCUUAGUUUCUCCUGCUCUAUCAUUCGUCCGUUUUAUUGUUAUUCUUAAAUAUAUCGCGUGUAUUGUUGGCUCGCGAGAGAUUCCAUUUUUGAGCCGCCGAUUCGGCUGAAUUAUAUUCAUCAUCUAAAUAGAAAGAAAUUAUAUUACAACGCGAUCGUGUCCGAUAACUUUAUAAUAUUAUGUCGAUUAUACAAUUUUCUCGGUCGUUGAAAUUUAGAUGAUGUUUUUAGUCCGUCGAUAAUAAUAUAAUAAAUUAUAAUAACAAAAUUAUUUAGACUAAUAAUAGGCAAUACUAAGAA